CGAAUGGGCGCAAGCCUGAUCCAGCCAUGCCGCGUGCGGGAAGAAGGCCUUUCGGGUUGUAAACCGCUUUUUGUCAGGGAAGAAACGGUCUGGGCUAAUACCCCGGACUAAUGACGGUACCUGAAGAUAAGCACCGGCUAACUACGUGCCAGCAGCCGCGGUAAUACGUAGGGUGCGAGCGUUGUCCGGAAUUACUGGGCGUAAAGGGCUUGUAGGUGGUUUUGUCGCGUUGUUCGUGAAAACCGGAGGCUCAACCUUCGGCGUGCGGGCGAUACGGGCAGACUGGAGUACUGCAGGGGAGACUGGAAUUCCUGGUGUAGCGGUGGAAUGCGCAGAUAUCAGGAGGAACACCGGUGGCGAAGGCGGGUCUCUGGGCAGUAACUGACGCUGAGGAGCGAAAGCGUGGGGAGCGAACAGGAUUAGAUACCCUGGUAGUCCACGCCGUAAACGGUGGGUACUAGGUGUGGGUUUCCUUCCUUGGGAUCCGUGCCGUAGCUAACGCAUUAAGUACCCCGCCUGGGGAGUACGGCCGCAAGGCUA
rnacentral:rRNA from 1 species